UACGUAGGGGGCGAGCGUUGUCCGGAAUUACUGGGCGUAAAGGGCGCGCAGGCGGCCGUGUAAGUCCGCUGUGAAAGACCGGGGCUCAACCCCGGGGUGUCAGCGGGGACUGCACGGCUGGAGUCCCGGAGGGGGAGGCGGAAUACCUGGUGUAGCGGUGGAAUGCGUAGAGAUCAGGUGGAACACCGAUGGCGAAGGCCAGCCUCCUGGACGGGGUACUGACGCUGAGGCGCGAAAGCGUGGGGGAGCGAACGGG
rnacentral:rRNA from 1 species